rnacentral:rRNA from 1 species
AACGUAGGGGGCGAGCGUUGUCCGGAAUUACUGGGUGUAAAGGGUGCGUAGGCGGCUUAGCAAGUCGUAUGUGAAAGUUGCCGGCUUAACCGGCGGAGUGCAUAUGAAACUGUUGAGCUUGAGUGCAGGAGAGGCAAGCGGAAUUCCUAGUGUAGCGGUGAAAUGCAUAGAUAUUAGGAGGAACACCAGUGGCGAAGGCGGCUUGCUGGACUGCAACUGACGCUGAGGCACGAAAGCGUGGGUAGCGAACAGGAUUAGAUACC